rnacentral:rRNA from 1 species
GACGAACGCUGGCGGCGUGCUUAACACAUGCAAGUCGAACGAUGAAGAAAAGAAUUGAAGCUUCGGCAGAAAUUCAUUUCGGAUUAGUGGCAGACGGGUGAGUAACGCGUGAGCAACCUACCUCUUACAAAGGGAUAGCCUCGGGAAACCGGGAUUAAUACCAUAUAACAUUGCGACGAAGCAUUUCGAUGCAAUCAAAGCUACGGCGGUAAGAGAUGGGCUCGCGUCCCAUUAACCAGAUGGUGAGGUAACGGCUCACCAUAGUAACGAUGGGUAACCGGCCUGAGAGGGGGAACGGUCACACUGGAACUGAGACACGGUCCAGACUCCUACGGGAGGCAGCAGUGGGGAAUAUUGCACAAUGGAGGGAACUCUGAUGCAGCGACGCCGCGUGAGUGAUGAAGGAAUUCGUUUCGUAAAACUCUGUUCUAUGGGAAGAAAAGGACUGUACCAUAGGAGAAAGCUCCGGCUAAAUACGUG